UAAAGCGCACCCANGNGGGUCUGUUAAGUCAGAUGUNAANUCCCCGGGNUUNANCCUGGGAACUGCANUUUNAAACUGNCAGGCUUGAGUNUNGUAGAGGGGGGUAGAAUUCCAGGUGUAGCGGUGAAAUGCGUAGAGAUNUGGAGGAAUACCGGUGGCGAAGGCGGCCCCCUGGACGAAGACUGACGCNUCAGGUGCGAAAGCGUGGGGAGCAAACAGGAUUAGAUACCCCUGGUAGUCCACGCCGUAAACGAUGUCGACUUGGAGGUUGUUCCCUUGAGGAGUGGCUUCCGGAGCUAACGCGUUAAGUCGACCGCCUGGGGAGUACGGCCGCAAGGUUAAAACUCAAAUGAAUUGAACGGGGGCCCGCACAAGCGGUGGAGCAUGUGGUNUAAUUCGAUGCAACGCGAAGAACCUUACCUACUCUUGACAUCCAGCGAANCGGGGCAGAGAUGCCCCGGUGCCUUNGGGAACGCUGAGACAGGUGCUGCAUGGCUGUCGUCAGCUCGUGUUGUGAAAUGUUGGGUUAAGUCCCGCAACGAGCGCAACCCUUAUCCUUUGUUGCCAGCGAUUCGGUCGGGAACUCAAAGGAGACUGCCGGUGAUAAACCCGGAGGAAGGUGGGGAUGACGUCAAGUCAUCAUGGCCCUUACGAGUAGGGCUACACACGUGCUACAAUGGCGCAUACAAAGAGAAGCGACCUCGCGAGAGCAAGCGGACCUCACAAAGUGCGUCGUAGUCCGGAUCGGAGUCUGCAACUCGACUCCCGUGAAGUCGAAUUCGCNAAGUAAUUGGUGGAUCAAGAAU
rnacentral:rRNA from 1 species